UACGUAGGGUGCAAGCGUUGUCCGGAAUUAUUGGGCGUAAAGAGCUCGUAGGCGGUCUGUCGCGUCGGCUGCGAAAACCCGGGGCUCAACCCCGGGCCUGCAGUCGAUACGGGCAGACUAGAGUGCGGUAGGGGAGACUGGAAUUCCUGGUGUAGCGGUGAAAUGCGCAGAUAUCAGGAGGAACACCGGUGGCGAAGGCGGGUCUCUGGGCCGUAACUGACGCUGAGGAGCGAAAGCGUGGGGAGCGAACAGG
rnacentral:rRNA from 1 species